GGAAGCUAAAAAAGAUCAACAGAAAGUAUUAGUACCCCAAGCAUAAUAAUACCAGUGAGCCUAGCAAAGCUUGAUUAUAAAAACAAUUUAGUUCUUUCAAGACUGAACCUAAAGUUCUGAGCAAACAUUUUAAUUUCUACUUAUAUCUGAUUAUGAAUGUUAUUUGAGGUGCAUGUUUCUCAUUCUGACUCUCAAGGACUGAAUGACAACUUGGUAACCAGCACAGCAGCCACAUGAAAAGAUUACGUUGUGCCUCUGGUGUAUGUUUAGGGUGUUGUGGUAUCUCAAUAUUCAGUGUCAUAAAAUGAGAAGCUUACUGUCUCCAGUGGAAUCAGGGAUCCCAGCUCAAGGAGAGGAGGAGCUUCAGAGUCACAGAACCAAACUGAUCUUGGCCCCCCAUCACUUAUUAUUCACAAGAAUAACCCUGCCACAAAGAAGCCCCCGAUUGUGUGGUCACAGCACUGCCUCUCUGUCCUGGAUGGGUACAGGAGGGCUGCCCUGCAAUCCUCUCAUUAUCAACCGUGAGAAAGAGGGAUCGACCGGAGAACAGGCACUGCCCCAAGAAAAGCCUGUUUCUAGGAUUCAGCUUACUUCUGGCUCUUCAGCAUAUUCAUUACAAUUAAGUCAGCAAUUUAAUGUAAUUAAAGAUACACGGCUACCUACAGAAGCCUAUUUUACAUAUUUAAUGAGUAGUAUGUAAAGACUCACC